rnacentral:rRNA from 1 species
UACGUAGGGUGCAAGCGUUAAUCGGAAUACUGGGCGUAAAGCGUGCGCAGGCGGUUUUGUAAGUCUGUCGUGAAAUCCCCGGGCUCAACCUGGGAAUUGCGAUGGAGACUGCAAGGCUGGAGUCUGGCAGAGGGGGGUAGAAUUCCGCGUGUAGCAGUGAAAUGCGUAGAGAUGUGGAGGAACACCGAUGGCGAAGGCAGCCCCCUGGGUCAAGACUGACGCUCAUGCACGAAAGCGUGGG